CAUGCCCAAAAUUGCCCUCAAGCAACUGAAAUGCAGCCUGAUAUGAGUAUCUAUAAAAUGAUAAGACUGCUUAGCCCAGAAAGGGAUGAGAACAAAGUCAGCAUCUUCAUUAGGAACUCAUGUUUGUAAUAUCCACUAAACAAGGCAUAAGGAUUAGACUCUCUGGAAUGUUAAAACUUCAACAAGGAGAUGAGGCUGUGUGUCUAUCUUCUGCCUACACUGAUCACCGCCCAAGUCUCUAGUGUCUGGAACAGAGUCACACCUACAGCUUCAAGGUCUACUUGCUCUGAGAAUACAAUCAAGUUGGAAUGGGGCUGGAUAAAACACGUCUAUGGAUUUAUUAUGGAGACAAGAACUUCAAAGGCCAGGAAUGAAGGAAACUACUUGCCCCACAUGAGUCAAUAAUACAACAGUACUCCAAGCAGGUGUUUUCCUACAUCAUCCAUCACUGAGGCUAGAUAGGGAGAAAACUGAGCUUGUUCUUUCUGCAACAUAGAGAGAGACCUAUGGGUAAUAUUUUUAUUUCCUGGAUUUUUAAAGGUGGUGUCAAUAAAUGUUUAGACAUGUCUCUGA